UACAGAGGGGGGCAAGCGUUGUUCGGAAUUACUGGGCGUAAAGGGCGCGUAGGCGGCCCGCUAAGUCGAACGUGAAAUCCCCGGGCUCAACCCGGGAACUGCGUCCGAUACUGGAAGGCUUGAAUCCGGGAGAGGGAUGCGGAAUUCCAGGUGUAGCGGUGAAAUGCGUAGAUAUCUGGAGGAACACCGGUGGCGAAGGCGGCAUCCUGGACCGGUAUUGACGCUGAGGCGCGAAAGCCAGGGGAGCAAACGGG
rnacentral:rRNA from 1 species